CACGUAGGGGGCAAGCGUUGUCCGGAUUUAUUGGGCGUAAAGAGCUCGUAGGCGGCUUAGUAAGUCGGGUGUGAAACCUCCAGGCUCAACCUGGAGACGCCACCCGAUACUGCUGUGGCUAGAGUCCGGUAGGGGAGCGUGGAAUUCCUGGUGUAGCGGUGAAAUGCGCAGAUAUCAGGAGGAACACCAGCGGCGAAGGCGGCGCUCUGGGCCGGUACUGACGCUGAGGCACGAAGGCCAGGGGAGCAAACGGG
rnacentral:rRNA from 1 species